CAAACUGCCCCUGCACAACUGAGAGCAAACUGCCCCUGCACAACUGAGAGCAAACUGCCCCUGCACAACUGAGAGCAAACUGCCCCUGCACAACUGAGAGCAAACUGCUCCUGCACAACUGAGAGCAAACUGCCCCUGCACAGCUGAGAGCAAACUGCUCCUGCACAACUGAGAGCAAACUGCCCCAGUACAACUGAGAGCAAACUGCUCCCUGCCGACACCACGGACACCACAGCAGCCAGGCACACGUGCGGGGCCAAGCCGACCGAUCCACACAGCUCGUCCUGCCUUCACACUGGCACCCGCGGCAGAAAUCAGUACUGCAGAUGAGAAAAUACAUGAAAUACCAGACUGGUGAUGGCACUACCUCAGGAAACCAACCUCAUUUCCCAGCAACUGUUCCCUGUCACGCAGUGGAGAAAUAACUCUCCCAGGCACCGUUUGUUUCCUGGCCCUUUGCUUCCAGACUCUCAUGCGCAUCCCUCAGGCACAGGAGUGUCUCUGGACACCACGCAAGGAGGCCGAGCACUGAAGCAAAGACAGUGCAGAGCUGAGUACUCUAGUGCCAAACUACCUUUACAGAUUAAGCCUAUAUCUUAGCAAGCCUCCUCUGGGUGAGGGGGGAAACAAAAAAAGAAUUCCUGAGAAUUCUGGCAAGAGAAACAGGACUUUUCAAAGUUAGUCAUUCCAUGAACUAGAACACCUGUACUUCAGGAAGCAGGAGCAACAACAGUGGAUGAAAACGAAGUCUAUAUAGUAAUGUAUCACCUGUACAACCAGAAACCUGAAACGCUACACUGGACAACCCUCUGAAGGUUCAUGAAGCUGAAAGACAGGGAGGAGUAGCAAGAAAACAUUUCAGCUAUGAAAAGAGACCAAAAGCACUCUGUGUGACUGAAGCACAAAACCAAGUGGCAGAAAACCUGUGCUGCGGUUCAGACUCUCCUUCAUCCCAGUGAGCAGGAAAGGGACACUGCAGGAGUCUCUGACAGGACAAGAUCAGAGAGUUUAAGGCUCCACCAACAAACUUUUUUUUUUUUAAACAAGGCACUUUUCAAACUAAAGGUAAACACAAAACCAAAUGCAGUGAGGAUCGUGGGCUGUUCCAGCAACUGCUUCUGGUGUUACACUACGCCUUCAAUGUCAGAACUCAGUUUUCUAACACUGGUGCUUCCUAUACACAAAUAUAUUGUUAAAAAAUAAGACCUUACAUAUUUGUUAG